AUCCAGCUGACGAGUGCCAAAUAGGACAAAACGCGCGUCAAACUGCAU
rnacentral:hammerhead_ribozyme from 1 species